AGAAGAUUCUGGUCUGUGGUGUUCUU
rnacentral:piRNA from 1 species